GACGAACCGUGCAAACGUUGUUCGGAAUCACUGGGCUUAAAGGGCGCGUAGGCGGCUUGCCAAGUCAGGGGUGAAAUCUUUCGGCUCAACCGGAAAAGUGCCUCUGAUACUGGCAGGCUUGAGUGAGGUAGGGGCAUGUGGAACUUCCGGUGGAGCGGUGAAAUGCGUUGACAUCGGAAGGAACGCCGGUGGCGAAAGCGACGUGCUGGACCUCUUCUGACGCCGAGGCGCGAAAGCUAGGGGAGCAAACGGG
rnacentral:rRNA from 1 species